CUAUAAUGCAGUCGAGCGGACAGAUGGGAGCUUGCUCCCUGAUGUUAGCGGCGGACGGGUGAGUAACACGUGGGUAACCUGCCUGUAAGACUGGGAUAACUCCGGGAAACCGGGGCUAAUACCGGAUGGUUGUUUGAACCGCAUGGUUCAAACAUAAAAGGUGGCUUCGGCUACCACUUACAGAUGGACCCGCGGCGCAUUAGCUAGUUGGUGAGGUAACGGCUCACCAAGGCAACGAUGCGUAGCCGACCUGAGAGGGUGAUCGGCCACACUGGGACUGAGACACGGCCCAGACUCCUACGGGAGGCAGCAGUAGGGAAUCUUCCGCAAUGGACGAAAGUCUGACGGAGCAACGCCGCGUGAGUGAUGAAGGUUUUCGGAUCGUAAAGCUCUGUUGUUAGGGAAGAACAAGUACCGUUCGAAUAGGGCGGUACCUUGACGGUACCUAACCAGAAAGCCACGGCUAACUACGUGCCAGCAGCCGCGGUAAUACGUAGGUGGCAAGCGUUGUCCGGAAUUAUUGGGCGUAAAGGGCUCGCAGGCGGUUUCUUAAGUCUGAUGUGAAAGCCCCCGGCUCAACCGGGGAGGGUCAUUGGAAACUGGGGAACUUGAGUGCAGAAGAGGAGAGUGGAAUUCCACGUGUAGCGGUGAAAUGCGUAGAGAUGUGGAGGAACACCAGUGGCGAAGGCGACUCUCUGGUCUGUAACUGACGCUGAGGAGCGAAAGCGUGGGGAGCGAACAGGAUUAGAUACCCUGGUAGUCCACGCCGUAAACGAUGAGUGCUAAG
rnacentral:rRNA from 1 species